rnacentral:rRNA from 1 species
UUGCUAAGCAACAGUCCUUCUGUAGCAGAGCUUAACGGAGACCUUGCACCCGAGAGGGGGAGGCGACUAUAAACAAGUCCCAGUGCAAGUCAGCGCCGCUGGCGACACAAUCGAAUUGCGGGGACGCUUUAAAGCUCAGUGGUACCAACCCUCCGGAUGCCGGAGGGGGCGGGCAAUGCCCGAGGUCAGAACCCACCGAGAUGUACAAUA